rnacentral:lncRNA from 1 species
CACAAACAUAGUUUGGUCACAGGGACAGGUUCCAACAAGUCGCUAAAUGACUCAGCCCAAACCUGAGUAACUCUUAUGACUGGUGUGACUUCACCACCAAGAAGCAGCUGGCCAUGAGUGCGAGUUUCUUCCACACCUCAGCGCCACCACGAUGAGAUCUUGCCAUCUCUUUCCCACGGUCACCUCACCUCGGGAGCUGCCUGAUGGACCCUGUGACCUUCAAAAGCCAUGACCUCCUUCUGCCUGACUGGAUGCAAGCUGUUCCCACAGGAUCUGAGUCCUGUGUCCUGAGUCCUGAGUCCUGUGUUGGGUGACGUGUCCAAAGAGCUGGAGCAGCGCCUGACCCACGCAGGUGUGCAACAGGUUCCGGCUGCACCAAUGAGAGGAUUCGCAUUUACUCCACAUGAGACGUUGUCCUGCGGACAGCGGGGACCCCAGUGAGAGACACGCACCUGAGCUUCCCAGUGCUUACGGGCUGGUGGAGCAGUGUAGAGCCAAGGCUUGAUGC